UACAGAGGUCUCAAGCGUUUGUUCGGAUUCAUUGGGCGUAAAGGGUGCGUAGGUGGCGUGGUAAGUCGGGUGUGAAAUUUCGGAGCUUAACUCCGAAACUGCAUUCGAUACUGCUGUGCUUGAGGACUGGAGAGGAGACUGGAAUUUACGGUGUAGCAGUGAAAUGCGUAGAGAUCGUAAGGAAGACCAGUGGCGAAGGCGGGUCUCUGGACAGUUCCUGACACUGAGGCACGAAGGCCAGGGGAGCAAACGGG
rnacentral:rRNA from 1 species